rnacentral:rRNA from 1 species
CGGAGCAUGCGGUAUUAAGUUCGAUGCAACGCGUAAGAACCGUUUACCAAGGCUUGACAUACACCGGUAACGCCCAGAGAUGGGUGCCCCUUUGUGGUCGGUGUACAGGUGGUGCAUGGUUGUCGUCAGCUCGUGUCGUGAGAUGUUGGGUUAAGUCCCGCAACGAGCGCAACCCUCGUCCUAUGUUGCCAGCGGGUCAUGCCGGGGACUCAUGGGAGACUGCCGGGGUCAACUCGGAGGAAGGUGGGAUGACGUCAAAUCAUCAUGCCCCUUAUGUCUUGGGCUUCACGCAUGCUACAAUGGCCGGUACAAAGGGCUGCGAUACCGCGAGGUGGAGCGAAUCCCAGAAAGCCGGUCUCAGUUCGGAUUGGGGUCUGCAACUCGACCCCAUGAAGUCGGAGUCGCUAGUAAUCGCAGAUCAGCAACGCUGCGGUGAAUACGUUCCCGGGCCUU